rnacentral:lncRNA from 1 species
UGUUGUUGUGGUUGUCGCUGUUAUCGUUGUUGUUGUUGUUGCUGUUGUUCUCGUUGUUCUCGUCAUUGUCGUGGUUGUCCUCGUCGUCGUUGUCGUCCUUGUUAUUGUUGUUGUUUUUUUGUUGUUGUUGUUGUUCUUAUUAUUGUUGUUGUCGUCGUUGUCGUCAUCUUCAUUGUUGUUGUUGUUGUUGUUAUCACUUUUGUCAUUGUUGUCGCUGUUUUCGUUGUUGUUGUUGUUGUUGUUGUUGUCGUU